GGGCCGGUAGCUCAAUUGGUAGAGCACCCGCCUUGCACGCGGGAGGUUAGGGGUUCAAGCCCCCUCCGGUCCA
rnacentral:tRNA from 1 species